rnacentral:lncRNA from 1 species
GUGGAUAUGUGGCCUCUGAUAUUAUGUGGGUGACAAUUAUAAAUUAGAGCCAAUAACAAACAAAGAUUCAAUAAACCUGUUAGGUGUUUUGACCCCGGGAGGUAACACCAACGAGUGAAUUUGUGUGCGUGUUCCCCUUUUCGGAUGGUUAUGCAAGAGUGACACAAAGAUUUAUCCUGGUUCAGGCAAAAGAAGGCCCUACGUCCAGCGGGGGGGAGAGUGUGUAUUAUCUUGCACCUAAGUGCUUGUACAGGGGCGAAUACAAGUAAAUGUGUCGGAGAGGAAAAGCGGCAGUUGCUGGAUGAUGGCUCGAUCGUCUCCUCGAGCGCCUCCCAGCUGGCAUGCCAGCCGAAAAUCCGCCAGCCAUAGUUCUGGCUUGGUUUCGCUGUUGUAUUUGGCGAUGCUGGUCGGGGGUCGGAACGGGCUCGGCAGUGGCGUGCUACGGAUCGCCCUACUGAAGACUCGAGGACCUGGUGGCUCUGGAGCCAUCCGGUCCUCGUCACUAUCGUAGCAUCCGCCACGGUGGGCGUUGUAGCCUCGUUCCUCAGCGUCACCGUGUUUGCGGCGUCGAUGCUCGUUGAUGUCGCUUUGAGCGUCGCGAGGCUCUCGAUUGUCGACAAGGCGCUCCAGGAUCGGGGUGGCUGUUCCCUGUGAACAGACACCUCCCUCUCAUUUCGAGCUGGCUCGGGGUGCUUUUCUGUGGCCGCCCCUCGACGUCGAGAGGCGGAGCUCUCUGCUUGCUGAGCCGCCGCCACAUGGAGCAAACCUUGCACCUCGUCUCGAAUGCGUCAUGCCUACGAGUUCGAGGGCUCAGGCAUGUUGCGUAGCAGUAUGGUUGCCGCCACGAUGUUCUGACCACCUCGUGGGAAUCGGCUAAUGAGCGGUUCAGGCUCCUCGUCCCCAACGAUCUGUCGGUACACGUCUCGAGCGCGUCCGCGCGUGCCCCCGCUCUGCGGGUGUGGUUGGUCUCGCUCGAGGGCCCGCUCUAGUUGGCUGAGGCGCUCUCGGUCCUCGUCGAGCUUGGCUUUUAGCUAUCAUAGCUGCGCAACUUGCAUGGCCUUCUCGUCCUGAGGUGGUGGGUCCGCCUGCCCGUCGUUCCCAGGUGUCCUAGGAUCUUCCCCUGCCGCGGGAGCUUGUGCAACGACGGCGGCGUCCUCUGUGUCGUCUGGGGUAGCCACUUCUCCGUCGAUGUUGAAGCAUUCCCUCGUAGGGUCGUAGCUGUCAGACUCGGAGUCGGGGUCUGGCUCGGCGGUGUAGAAGCAUCUGCGCCACUCCUCCGCCAACUGUUGCCUGAGCGUGGUGAGGGUGUAUCGUCCAGGUCCCAGGCGUCGAGGCCUGCGUAUCUAGGGAAAGCCUGGACACUCAACCACUUGCUGAGCUUGCUGUCGCGUCUCUGUGUCACGUGGGAGGACCAGUGGUCGCUCCACGCACGUCCCGAUGCCUGGACAUAUUGUCCUGACGAGCGACGUUGUGGCGUUGUCUAAGCCGAACAGGAGCGUCUGCCCUGUGGCGAACAGACCAUGUGGUAACAGGGCAAAUGGUGGCGACGGUGCAUGGGGUGCGUUGUCCCUUGGUGCCGUCGGGCGGCCGCUCCGCUGACUGGCCGACAUGACCACUGCCUUGGUGUGCGAGGCUGCCGGCCCCUCCACCAAUACCUGUCCUACAUGAGGUGGCGAUCGUGCGGCAGCGUUGAGGCGGUGGCGAUGCUGAUCACGCCUCCUCUUGGGCCGGGAAGCGUGGUAGUGAGGCCGCUGUGGGCCUUCGAUCGUGUGGGCAUGAUGCGAGCCCCUCCCGGUCCUCUAACUGAGAGCAAAAUCAUAUCAUAGCUGAAACCAGUGGACAUGAACUUAAGGCUCCCAAACCAGAUCACCGUGGAGCGCGGGAUCGGUGAGACGUGAGUGGCAAUACGAAAAGAGACGGGGAAUCAAUAGUAACACGCAGGACCCCUACCUAGUGUGCCAACUGUCGGUGUUUUGACAACGGGGGGUAACACCAACGAGUGAAUUUGUGUGCGUGUUCCCCUUUUUGGAUGGUUAUGCAAGAGUGACACAAACAUUUAUCCUGGUUCAGGCAAAAGAAGGCCCUACGUCCAACGGGGGGAGAGUGUGUAUUAUCUUGCACCUAAGUGCUUGUACAGGGGCGAAUACAAGUAAAUGU